GGGCAAACACUUUCAUGGGAGUAUGGUGUAGGUGAAGCGGGGACUAGUCGAGCAGGGGAUGUACAAAGAGCAAGAGAAGAGCCAACUUCUAUGCCCUGAUCGAACAGAAGGCACUAAGUCUUGUCCAACUCUCUACGACCCCAUGGACUGUAGCCCACCAGACUUAUCUAUCCAUGGGAUUUCCCAGGCAAGAAUACUGAAAUGUGGAAUCCAUGGAUAUGAAGGGCUGACUGUACUGCUGAAGAAUCAUGGCAUCUGGCCCCAAGACUACAUGGCAAAGAGAUGAGGAAACAAUGGAAACAGUGAGAGGCUUUAUUUUUGGGCUCCAAAAUCACUGUGGAUGGUGACUCCAGCCAUAAAAUUAAAAGACACUUACUCCUCUGAAGGAAAGUUAUGACCACCUAACAGAAUAUUAAAAACCAGAGACAUUACUUUGCCAACAAAGGUCCAUCUAGUAAAGGCUAUGGCUUUUUCCAGUAGUCAUGUAUGGAUGUGAGAGUUGGACCAUAAAGAAGGCUGAACGCCGAAGAAUUGAUGCUUUUGAUUUUUGUCUUAGAGAAGACCCUUGAGAGUCCUUUGGACUGCAAUAAGAUCAAACCAGUCAGUUCAGUUCAGUUUCUCAGUCGUGUCCUACUCUUUGCGACCCUAUGAACUGCAGUACGCCAGGCCUCCCUGUCCAUCACCAACUCCUGGAACCCACCCAAACCUAUGUCCAUUGUGUCGGUGAUGCCAUCACCCAUCUCAUCCUCUGUCAUCCCCUUCUCCUCCUGCCUUCAAUCUUUCCAAGCAUCAGGGUCUUUUC
ensembl:lncRNA